GAUGAACGCUGGCGGCGUGCCUAAUACAUGCAAGUCGAGCGAACGGACGAGAAGCUUGCUUCUCUGAUGUUAGCGGCGGACGGGUGAGUAACACGUGGAUAACCUACCUAAAAGACUGGGAUAACUUCGGGAAACCGGAGCUAAUACCGGAUAAUAUUUUGAACCGCAUGGUUCAAAAGUGAAAGACGGUCUUGCUGUCACUUAUAGAUGGAUCCGCGCUGCAUUAGCUAGUUGGUAAGGUAACGGCUUACCAAGGCAACGAUGCAUAGCCGACCUGAGAGGGUGAUCGGCCACACUGGAACUGAGACACGGUCCAGACUCCUACGGGAGGCAGCAGUAGGGAAUCUUCCGCAAUGGGCGAAAGCCUGACGGAGCAACGCCGCGUGAGUGAUGAAGGUCUUCGGAUCGUAAAACUCUGUUAUUAGGGAAGAACAUAUGUGUAAGUAACUGUGCACAUCUUGACGGUACCUAAUCAGAAAGCCACGGCUAACUACGUG
rnacentral:rRNA from 1 species